GUGCUUACUUCGGCAACACAUAUUCUAAAAUUGGAACGCCACAGAGAAGAUUAGCAUGGGCCCUGGCAAGGAUGACAUGCAAACUCAUGAAGGUCCCAUAUUUAA
ensembl:snRNA U6 U6 spliceosomal RNA